ensembl:lncRNA
CUUUGAUACAUUUCUUUUCUCCUCACAACAUGAAAGACAUAAUGGAGACUCAUCAUUAAUAAUAAUGUUUGCUGUCAGAUUCUGGCCGACCGACUCCUUUCAUCAGAAUCAGUUCAUGCAGAGUUCACCACAGGGCUGGCGAGAUGGUGCAACCAGAGAAGGUGCUAGCUUCUCCUUGACCUAAGCCUGACAACCUGAGCCAAAUCUGAGGAAUCACACAGAGUUGUCCUCUGACCUUCCCGUGGGCACUGGAGCAGGUGCCCCCACACAUGCAUACAAGAAUAACAAGAAUAAUUUUUUAAAACCGACAUCAAGUUUUUUUUUUUUUAAGAAAAGGUUUUUUUCCCCAAUAAAAACUGAUAGGAUGGGUUGAUUUCUAUUGUUGCUUGCUUCGUAGCUUUAAAAAGUCAUAUUACUGAGUCAUGCUUAGUCACUCAUUCAGAGCCUCGUUAAGCUAAUUAGAUACAA